ensembl:lncRNA
CGAGAAUACAGGGAGAGAAGCAGGGAGGGAUUCAAGCUCUCACAGGAAAAAUGCAGGUUUGUAUGGAAGGGAUGCUAGAAAACCUGAAGGUUUGCAUGUGAGGGAGAGGAGAAAUGCUGGUUUGCAGAGGAGAGAUGCAGGAAGGGAUGCAGGAAAGGAUGCGGGUUUGUGUGGGAGGGAUAAGAGGGAUACAGGGAGAUGCAGGUUUGCGGAGGAGUGUUGCAGGCUUGCAUGUGGAGGGCAGUGCAGAAUUUCAGGGGGCUCAACAGGAUGCUUUCCUUUGCAGGCAGGCCAGGGCUGGGGCUGGCAGGGCCAGCCAGGGGGCCAUAGCAGUGGGGACAGCUCAGUGACAGCCAAAUACCAUCUUUCAUGCCAGGGCUCCCAUCCUGCUGCUUUGGGUGGUGCAGGCACCAGGGAUCCACCUCGGCACUGAGAUGUUCCCUAGCCAAAAGGCAGGUCCUGCAGCUCGCUGCCAUCCCUGCUCCUUCCCUGCAAUGUGCCCAGUGCUCCUGCCCCGAGACAUUGGGUUUUCCCCAUCUGCUCUCUUCCCAGUCUUCCCAGGCUGCAGCUCAAAUCCAUCCUCGCUUGUCCUGAACAAAGCCAGGAAGCGUGCUCUUCUCCUCCUCCCCUGCAGCUGGUGAUGCGUUUGGAGGCAUUAACCUCUCUGUUUGGUCUUUAUCUAUUUAUUUAUUUUUAAAGAGACAGUGCCAUCCUUGGCUCCAUUUUUUUCCUCUCCUGUGAGCUGUCCUCAGCUGCUGGCUCCACUAUGGGUGUCCGUGCUCCCAGCAGCGUCGCUGACAGAGAACAGGCUUGCAGCGUGUGCCAUCUCCUCCUUCCCUGGAUCUCUCUGCUGCUUUUUGGCCUUUCCAUGGGAUGCCCCGCUGCCAUAGCCAAGCACUUGUAGGUGUAAACCCAACCGAUGCUCCCAUGCAAAACCGUCAGCAAACCCGUGCCGUCAUUCCAGUGUGCCAGCAGCAUCCACUUUGUCUUCAGGGACUGACCACAGCGGAGGCGUUCUCCUUCCAUCUGCCCUGAGAGGCUCUAAAAAAAUAAUAAAAAAAUAAAAAAUGGAGCACG